UAUUCGGCUCUAUGUAUUUCCAACAAAAAAAAUGGGAGGGAGGAAAAUGACGUUCCAAAUCAAAGUAAGCCCCUUUGAUAGUGUUUUGAUGUUUCAGCUGAGAAUUAUACUGGGGAGAACUGUAUUUUUCUGGGGUUGUCAAGGCUCCCCAGCUAACCUCCACAGUUGCCGUUUUAAGGGACGAGGAGUUUUACCUAACCCAUGGGGAAGGUCCCUGGAACUAAAGCAGUCACCAUGUUUUCUGAGGGUGAACCAGGUACAAGAUUCUGUGCUAGCAGGGUGGUAUAGAGAAAAGGACAUAGAACUAGGAGUCAGGAACCCUCAGGUUUUAAACAUUUAUUUAAAAAAAUUUUUUUUUGAGAGACAGGGUCUAGCUCUGUUGUCCAGACUGGAGUGCAGUGGCAUGAUCAUAACUUACUGUAGCCUCAAACUCCUGGGUUCAAGAGAUUCUCCUGUCUCAGCCUCCCAAGUAGCUGGAACUACAGGUAUGCAUCAGCAUGCCCGACUAAAUUUUUUUCUUUCUCUUUCUUUCUUUCUUUUUUUUUUUUUUUUUUUUUUGUGUAGAGACAGGGGUUAUGUCUUGCUAUGUUGCCCAGGCUGGUCUCCAACUCUUGGCCUCAAGCAAUCCUUCCACCUUGGCCUCCCAAAACCCUGAGAUUACAGGCAUGAGCCAUCCCGCCUGGCCUUGUUUUAAAUGAGAUGUUUCAACUAGGUGGCCUCUGAAGUUUCUUCUAGUUUAACAAUUUUGUUCCAUAGGAGAAACAAGUAUUUAACUAUUCACUCAAUUCAGACCCUGCAGAGUUGAGACAAUGUGCUCAGGCUUGAAGGGAGAAGAGCCCUGGGAACUUUCGCAUUAGAAUAAGCUCUAGUUUUCACAUAGGUUUCACGGAGGGAAAUCCUGAGCUCCAGGAGGUUACCACUGCACUGAGGUAGACCAUGCACCACGCACUCAUCAGUGACAUGUCCUGUAGUUCAUUCCAUGCAAAAAUCUGCAAAGAGGCCUGUGAACAGCAGAAGAGCGUGGAAAAUUCUCAUUAAGCUCUAUGGUGCCAAGGAAGGAGGAGGCCCUAGCUGGGGAGGUAGGCGAGCCCGCAGGAACGAAGGCUGUUCCGGUUUUCACAGCUGCUCUGCACCUUGGCCACUCCAAACUCCUCACUUUACUGUCAAGGAAACGAGAUAUGUGCAGAAUCUCCAAUUUAGGCUGAAGUCGAGUUAGACAAGCCUUUCAGUUUUUGUUGCCAGAAUGACUUUGCCAUAUAUGUCACUCUAAAGCCGCCUGAGGAGGGGGCUGGGGUUAGACUCUGCCCCAGUGACCUAAGACAGCAGUUAAUCUCCAUGGAGCCUCUCCAUAAGGGGGAUAGGCCCCAAGGGGACAUUGUGUCCAUUUACUAAUGACUGUAAAAGGCUGUGAAAAUCCCAAGUACUGGUGGAAUGCUGCUCACAGCAAAGGGAGAAGGAAAACAAUGUAGUUCCAGGACUCUGCAGCCUGAAGACUUUCUCUUUGCUGGGAGGAGCAGUGUGGACACUCUAAGUGCCCUAAAUACACUGACUUGAUCACUAUGCAUUAUGUACAUCUGAUAGAAUUGCACAUGUACUCCAUACAUUUGUACCAAUAAAAAACCUUAAAGAAUACAGGUUGCUGGAGGUAGAUUUUAAAUGUCUAGUUUUCCAAUGGGAAGGCAUGUGAGAACCAUUGCAUGUUCCCAGAUGGGGCUUGUGCUUCCCCCUGCGUGUUUCCGGUGCUCUCUGUGCUCACCUCUGUCUAGGGACUCAGUACAUCAUCCUCUUACAAUUUUCCCCCAGUGUUCAUGCUCACUGGACAGGGAGUUCCCUGAGGACGGGAACAUGGUUUUCUAUUUCCAGCCUCUAGCACAGUGCUUCAGGUAAUAGAUACUCAAGUAAUUGUUUGUUGACUGAAGAAGUGAUCCAUUAUUAAGCCACAGCAUGGACUAAAAUGGACGAGAACCCUGGGCCAUCUUAGGAAUGGGAAUGGUUCCCUUUGAACAUCCACAUUGCAUUUCCACGUGUUUAUCAGGGUGUCAUAAAUAAUGAAUUAGCGAGAGCAGGAGGUUUUAUAUAGCAGGGGAGGAGGAGGAGCAGCACCUGUAGGGGCAGGUAUGGGUGUGGGUCGGGCUCUCUGACAGCAGCCAGUGGUCCAGGACUGCUGAGGAACCCUUCUGGUCAGUCUGCGUGUCUUUCACACUCCUCCGUAGCUUAGGGCACAGACUAGGGGCUCAGAUGGAGGAGGAGUCAUGGUUCCCAUUGCACCUUCUUUUCUGGACUCCUUUGCUAAUCUGUGGUACUAUCAUCCCAUUCCCCAAAAAGAGUCAGACGGGAAAGAUGAGCAGAAAGGAGGGAGAGCACAGCUGGGCAUAGUGGCUCACGCCUGUAAUCGCAGCGCUUUGGGAGGCCGAGGUGGGCAGAUCACUUGAGGCCAGGAGUUCGAGACCAGCCUGACGAACGUGGCAAAACCCUGUCUCUACUAAAAAUACAAAAAUUAGCCAGGCAUGGUGGCAGGCACCUGUAAUCCCAGCUACUCAGGAGGCUGAGGCAGGAGAAUCACUUGAACCCGGGAGGCGGAGGUUGCAGUGAACCAAGAUUGCUCCACUGCACUCCAGCCUGGGCAGCAGAGCAAGACCCUGUCUCG
rnacentral:lncRNA from 1 species